UACGUAGGGGGCAAGCGUUGUCCGGAAUUAUUGGGCGUAAAGAGCGUGUAGGCGGCCAGAUAAGUCCGCUGUGAAAUCUCGAGGCUCAACUUCGAGCUGUCGGUGGAAACUAUCUGGCUAGAGUCCGGAAGAGGAGAAUGGAAUUCCUGGUGUAGCGGUGAAAUGCGCAGAUAUCAGGAAGAACACCCGUGGCGAAGGCGGGUCUCUGGGCCGACAUUGACGCUGAGGAGCGAAAGCGUGGGGAGCGAACAGG
rnacentral:rRNA from 1 species